GUCGAGAAUCUUUCACAAUGGGGGCAACCCUGAUGGAGCGACGCCGCGUGGAGGAUAAGGUCUUCGGAUUGUAACCUCCUGUCAUGCGUGAACAAGGUUGCUUGGAUAAUACCUGAGCAAAUUGAUGGUAGCGCAAGAGGAAGAGACGGCUAACUCUGUGCCAGCAGCCGCGGUAAUACAGAGGUCUCAAGCGUUGUUCGGAAUCACUGGGCGUAAAGGGUGCGUAGGUGGCGUGGCAAGUCAGAUGUGAAAGACCGGGGCUCAACCUCGGAACUGCAUCCGAUACUGCCAUGCUAGAGUACUGGAGGGGUGACUAGAAUUCUCGGUGUAGCAGUGAAAUGCGUAGAUAUCGAGAGGAAUACCAAAGGCGUAGGCAGGUCACUGGACAGUUACUGACACUGAGGCACGAAGGCCAGGGGAGCGAACGGGAUUAGAAACCCCUGUAGUCC
rnacentral:rRNA from 1 species